rnacentral:rRNA from 1 species
GACGAACGCUGGCGGCGUGCUUAACACAUGCAAGUCGAACGGAAAGGCCCUGCUUUUGUGGGGUGCUCGAGUGGCGAACGGGUGAGUAACACGUGAGUAACCUGCCCUUGACUUUGGGAUAACUUCAGGAAACUGGGGCUAAUACCGGAUAGGAGCUCCUGCUGCAUGGUGGGGGUUGGAAAGUUACGGCGGUUGGGGAUGGACUCGCGGCUUAUCAGCUUGUUGGUGGGGUAGUGGCUUACCAAGGCUUUGACGGGUAGCCGGCCUGAGAGGGUGACCGGCCACAUUGGGACUGAGAUACGGCCCAGACUCCUACGGGAGGCAGCAGUGGGGAAUAUUGCACAAUGGGCGGAAGCCUGAUGCAGCAACGCCGCGUGCGGGAUGGCGGCCUUCGGGUUGUAAACCGCUUUCGCCUGUGACGAAGCGUGAGUGACGGUAAUGGGUAAAGAAGCACCGGCUAACUACGUG